rnacentral:rRNA from 1 species
CAGGGAUUGCCUCAGUAACGGCGAGUGAAGCGGCAACAGCUCAAAUUUGAAAUCUGGCCCCCCGGCCCGAGUUGUAAUUUGCAGAGGAUGCUUCGGGCGCGGCGCCUUCCAAGUCCCCUGGAACGGGGCGCCACAGAGGGUGAGAGCCCCGUCAGGUUGGCCGCCAAGCCUAUGUGAAGCUCCUUCGACGAGUCGAGUAGUUUGGGAAUGCUGCUCUAAAUGGGAGGUAGACCCCUUCUAAAGCUAAAUACCGGCCAGAGACCGAUAGCGCACAAGUAGAGUGAUCGAAAGAUGAAAAGCACUUUGAAAAGAGGGUUAAACAGUACGUGAAAUUGUUGAAAGGGAAGCGCUUGUGACCAGACGUGCGCCGGGCGCUCAGCGGGCGUUCUCGCCCGUGCAUUCGCCCCGGCGCAGGCCAGCGUCGGUUCGGGAGGGGGGACAAAGGCACCAGGCACGUAGCUCCCCCGGGAGUGUUAUAGCCCGGUGCGCCAUGCCCCCGCCCGGACCGAGGUUCGCGCUCCGCAAGGACGCUGGCGUAAUGGUCCCCAGCGGCCCGUCUUGAAACACGGACCAAGGAGUCGAGGUUUUGCGCGAGUGUUUGGGUGUCAAACCCGCACGCGUAAUGAAAGUGAACGCAGGUGGGAGCUUCGGCGCACCACCGACCGAUCCUGAUGUUCUCGGAUGGAUUUGAGUAGGAGCGUAGGGCCUCGGACCCGAAAGAUGGUGAACUAUACUUGGAUAGGGUGAAGCCAGAGGAAACUCUGGUGGAGGCUCGCAGCGGUUCUGACGUGCAAAUCGAUCGUCAAAUCUGAGUAUGGGGGCGAAAGACUAAUCGAACCAUCUAGUAGCUGGUUACCGCCGAAGUUUCCCUCAGGAUAGCAGUGUUGAUCUCAGUUUUAUGAGGUAAAGCGAAUGAUUAGGGACUCGGGGGCGCUUUUCAGCCUUCAUCCAUUCUCAAACUUUAAAUAUGUAAGAAGCCCUUGUUGCUUAGUUGAACGUGGGCCUUCGAAUGCAGCAACACUAGUGGGCCAUUUUUGGUAAGCAGAACUGGCGAUGUGGGAUGAACCAUACGGGGGGUUAAGGUGCCGGAGUGGACGCUCAUCAGACACCACAAAAGGCGUUAGCACAUCUUGACAGCAGGACGGUGGCCAUGGAAGUCGGAAUCCGCUAAGGACUGUGUAACAACUCACCUGCCGAAUGUGCUAGCCCUGAAAAUGGAUGGCGCUCAAGCGUCCCACCCAUACCCCCCCCUCAGGGUAGAAACGAUGCCCUGAGGAGUAGGCGGCCGCAGCGCUGUGUGACGAAGGCUA